rnacentral:rRNA from 1 species
UACGUAGGGGGCUAGCGUUGUCCGGAAUCAUUGGGCGUAAAGAGCGUGUAGGCGGUCCGGUAAGUCCGCUGUGAAAGUCCAGGGCUCAACCCUGGAAUGCCGGUGGAUACUGUCGGGCUCGAGUCCGGAAGAGGCGAGUGGAAUUCCUGGUGUAGCGGUGAAAUGCGCAGAUAUCAGGAGGAACACCAAUUGCGAAGGCAGCUCGCUGGGACGUUACUGACGCUGAGACGCGAAAGCGUGGGGAGCAAACAGG